UCUGGAGCCUGCUGGUUUUCUGUUCUACCUGAUAAUUAAUUGCAUCUGAUGUUCCUGGUCUAAAUCAGUCCCAGAUUAGGGGGUAACAAUGGAAAAAAUGCAGUGGAACUGGCUGUGUUGAGUUAGAGGGCUAUAGAUUCUCCAUUCAUUUUACUGAGAAAGGAAGAUAUUUUUAUGGGGGGGGGGCAGGUGCGGGUAGGCAGGCCUACUGGUUUCCAGCUAUUAAAACACUGAGAAACUAGCCACUCUUGAACAUAUAGUCCCUUAUCCUAUUUGAGCCUAUAUCAAACACCAGACUAAAUAGCCUACUUAAAACCUCUACGGGAUCAGUAUCCCUAAACCGGGAUGAUUAAUGCUCGAUAUGCGAUAAUGUGACUAGAAAACGUUGUAUACAACAGCCAACUUUCGGGGACAUAGACAUGUCUUAUAUGGGCAGAAAGCUUAAAUUGUUGUUAAUCUAACUGCAGUGUCCAAUUUACAGUAGCUAUUACAAAAAAAAAAUAACAUGCUAUUGUUUUAGACUGGUGCACAACAAAACACAUGGCAGCUGGUUUGAUACAUUCACCUCUGAAGGUAAAUGAUGUACUUAAAUCAGAGCAAGAUUACUGAAUGUGUCAUCCUGAAGGUCCCAGAGCUGGGAAUUGGGUUUACAGUUUGACCCCACUGCUGUCUCUGGCUCCACCCCCUCCCUCCCACCCAUCUUGAUCUGUGACUUUCUGGAAGUAUGUAAACUUAAAAUGUUUAGUACCAUAUCAUUUUUGUAUGUUCUUUAGUUAUGUACUUAAAUGUAUAAAUUGACAAAUUCGGCAUACUCCGGCAGACUUGCUGCAAAAUAUUGUGUAGUGAGAUCAGUCAAACUUUGCGGUACACUGCUGCCAUCUUGUGGACAAUCUAAAUUACACCUAGGCUCCUAUCUUAAUGUAUGGCCUUCCUUGCGUUUCAAAGAUGAUGAUAAUAACAAACUUUCUAAAAUUGUUUAUUUUACCAGAUCUAAUGUGGUGUUCUCCUACAUUAAUUGCAUAGUUCCACAAACGUCAGUGUUUCUUUUCAAAUGGUAUCAAGAAUAUGCAUAUUCUUGCUACAGGCAGUUAGAUUUGGGUAUGCAAUUUUCAGGUAAAAAUAAGAAUAGGAUUUAUUAAACAUUUGUAUUAUUGGAUAAGGUUUAUAUAGGCCUAUUUCAUACGUUCUGAUGUGUUGAUUAAAUAUUUGUUUAUUGUAAACGACGACAGCAUUUCUUGGCAUGAUCAUCCAUGAAAAGGUCAUUUUUAAAUGUUCAGUAUCAGCCCCAAUUCUAUAUUUUUGUUCAACCACACUAAUUGACUUGGGCAACCACCAUCCUGUCCGGUGUCUCCAGCGCUUUUGACCUUUCAACAGAAGAGGCUCGCGUUCGACAAUGCACUGUGAGGGUUUAAUCCAUAAUUCGGAAUUAGAAUACUAAUUUAAUAGGAUCUCUGAGUUAAUGAACACGACGUAUUAAUAUUUCAUAACCGGCAGAAGUUUGUUUGCUAAAUCCGUAAUGUGCAUUUCACAGCCCUUUUGUUCGUAACUUUUUUUUUUUCUUUUCCUGCCGCUGUUUCUAAUCGAGCUACUUUUAGCUCAUGGAUAGAUUUGCAGGUGGACACGGGAGCGGUGAUGGAGGCGAAGGGGCAGGUAGAGAUGUUCUUUUAGCGCGCUAUGUAAGUGGACCACUACUUGGCAAAGCAUAAAAGGAAUCUGAAGUAGGGAAGCAAGAACAGAUGUAAGGGAGACGACCAAAUUGCUUUGACAAAGACCGGUGUUUUGAUUUUGGUUCCAGGAAUGUAAAAGAACUAAGGAUGAUUGGCAUAACUAUUGCCUUUGUAGUGCGCCUGGAUAAUAGGCCUAAAUGUGAAUAUAUUUCUGAAUACACUGGAUAGUUAGCAUUUUUGUGGACUUUUCAAGCUAUUUUCCCCCAUGUACUUUGAGAAUGCUGUUAAGAAUGCAAAUAUUUUUUGCCCUUCGCAUCCUUGAUAGUACUGACCAGUUUGAUGCAGACAGGAAGACAUGUGACCAGUGAUGGAUUUUUCCUCAUCAGGGUGACAGAAGAGUAUUUCCGUAUCCCUCCGACCAUUCUGAGUGCAGUGAUUAUACAUCACCACAGUCCGACAGAUACUGCAGUACUUCAGCAGGAACCAGGGAACAUUGCAUCUUACAGAUAACUACCUAGGCACCAUGGUAUCUGUGCUUUUUCAUACCCACUUGGUCAGGGACAGGAGCCUCUUUCCUGAACUGGUACCCCUACUUUCCCUGGUCAACCCUGCAGACAUCCAGUCUGACAUCGCUGCCCCCCUUACAGACCAACCUCAUUGUGUAAACAACAACUAUGUCCUACAUUCCUCUGCUCGCUCUCGCUUUCUUCAGGAGAAAUACCAUCAACGGCAACAUCAGGAGCCUGUCGGUGGAGUAGCGCAGGGCCUUGGGAGGUGGUACAGCCGAGCCCUCAGCUCCCUCAACAUGACAGCCGGCGGCCCCUCCUUCAUCAGGGACACUGGUAACCUGAUCGUCUACCUGCCCUUUCACAGCUUCCAGCACCUCUCACCUGCUCAGCUGGGGCAGCUGCAGAAGCUGGGCUCUCUGGUGAGUGGGGUGAAGGUUGAGACUCUGUGGAGCUUGCCCUCUGACAUCCUGCUGUCCUCUCUUUCUGACGUCGCCCUGCACAUGCCCGGCCUCAACCCCCCCCACAGGCCAACACCAUCACCACCUAACUCUGGGGCUCACCAGAGGUGACUGGCUGGUUGGAUAAGGUGGAGCCCCUACUCCCCAGCACCCCUCUACUCAGUGUGCUGACCAGGGCUAGUCUGCUGUUGACCAACAGGACCUUGGCAGGAAGACGAGCCUGGAACACUCAGGCUAAAACUAUUUUUAAAGAAGCAGUGAAGACCAUGCCCAAUCUUUCCACUGAGACGUUUCUUGCCCUUGGAAGCAUUUCUUGAGGUGUAAGCUGCACAGCCCUGCGACAGCUCAUCCGGGACAAGCCAUCAUUUUCCUCAAUGUGGAGUGUCAUUGCAUUCAUGAAAGAGCAGUCUGUUCCUCCAUUCCUCACUGGUACAUGAGCAAAUACUUAACUCAAUUAACUAGCUCAGAGGAAUGUGGUUAACAUUUUGCAUGGUUCCACUGUUAGGUAUAAAGAUAUGUUAUAUAAGCGUAAUUGACAACCCUCAUGCUUUUGUUUCAUCGCGGAGCUGUACUACUUUGACUUCUUCUUUGAGCUGCUGGGAGACAUUGGCGCUCAGAUCGCUCUGGCCCUGCCGUGAGUCGGUCUUACUGCCAUUAAUCAUCACUACAGAUGGUUUGAGCAUCAACAAUGCAUCACUGUCAACGUUGUGUGUGUGUGUGUUCCUGUGUGUGUGUGUGCAUGCUCUUGUCUGUGUGCAUUUGCAGGGUGAGCACUAUUAAGAAGUUCCCUGCUGACAUGACGGAUAAUUUCAAGGAAGAUGAUUGUGCAGGACUCCCAUCACGUCCUGCUCCUACCCAGUACAAAACAGGAUAUUCUGGUGGACAAGAUGGAGCAGAGACUUGACAUGUACACAGGAGAGUUCACUGAGGAUGAGUUCUGCUCACUGGGCAUCAUGGUGACCUAUGUAGUGGAUGAGGUGUUUGUGCAGCUGGUGCGGAGCUUCAUUGUGGAGAGCCUGGAGUUCCUCAGAGUUCUGCUACAACAGCAGCAAGAGGGACAACGUCGCACCUUCGGCCCCGUUCAGAACUGGAGCCCUGAAGACACUCAAUCAAGUGGACAGAUGAUUAUUUUUCUUCCUUCCCAAAGCGACGCUGCAGCAGGUUCCCCAGGAGUGCCAAGAUGGGGGCGCGGUGGCUUCAAGCUGGGCCGUCUGAGGCUGACCUGUUCAGAAGAGCAGCAGCUUUACCGGGACUGCUGAGCCAUAGCCUGGCUUUUGGACCCAUAAGCUCCUGGCGCCAUGAGGUCUUCAUUGAGGUUGGAGCACUGGCAGCUGGCCUCCCAGAUAUGGCCAUGUCAUCUUUGGUGAAGGUUGAAGGACUGACACCAUUCUGGCUGUGUCCCUCAUCCGGGCAGACAAGUGUGAGGAUUCAAAAACACAUGUCAGUUUAUCUUCCAUGUUUUGUAUUGCCUCCUAUCAAAUUGUUGUUUUUCUUUGUGUCCAUGUCGUGUUUGACCCAGCCCAGAAUGUUUCUCCUAUAAACAGCGAUUGAUUUUGUGACGUGUGCAGCUGAUAGCUAUGUCUUCUUUUUUUAAAACUAGGCAAGUCCGUUAAGAACACAUUCUUAUUUUCAAUGAUGGCCUAGGAACAGCCUUUUUCAGGGGCAGAACGACAAAAUUUUCCUUGUCAGCUCGGGAAUUCGAUCUUGCACCACUAGGCUACCUAUCUAGCAAAUUUCACUGAAGUUAACAUUGUCUUGAUCUUAGUCGAGGGUAAUUAAAUUAGAUGCGUAUUAUGUCAGUACAUACUUUCAGCAUGUAUAUUUUGUAACUUUGAGUCUGAAUAAGAAGAGGAAUCAGGAUCGAGUGGAAGAAGGACAGCUCAAGGUUUGAGGGAGUGUUGGAUGUAGGAUGCAAUUGUAUGCUAAUUCUAUUGUUGAGUUGAUGUUGACUUUGUCUCCAUACAGUUAUUGUUGCUUUUGUGUUUGUGUGUCCCCAUGCAGGCAGGUCACCAGGGCUGGCACUGUGCCCUAGUCCUCUCUGUCACCUUCUGGGACUGCUGAUGGUGCUGUUAGUUUCUGCUCUGUAAUGGCCUCCCCUUCUGAUGUGUAACCCUCUCACCCCCAAUGGGCCACGAGGACUCUCUCCCACACAACUACAAUGUUAAACAAUAACGUGUAAUAUAUUUGAGUAAGGCUUUUGUAAUGGAUGGUUAUUCAAAAAAUGCAGAAUUAAGAACAGAUAUAUCCCUUGGUUCACUCCAGACCUGACUGCCCUCGACCAGCACAAA